GAUGAACGCUGGCGGCGUGCCUAAUACAUGCAAGUCGAGCGAACAGACGAGGAGCUUGCUCCUCUGACGUUAGCGGCGGACGGGUGAGUAACACGUGGAUAACCUACCUAUAAGACUGGGAUAACUUCGGGAAACCGGAGCUAAUACCGGAUAAUAUAUUGAACCGCAUGGUUCAAUAGUGAAAGACGGUUUUGCUGUCACUUAUAGAUGGAUACGCGCCGCAUUAGCUAGUUGGUAAGGUAACGGCUUACCAAGGCAACGAUGCAUAGCCGACCUGAGAGGGUGAUCGGCCACACUGGAGCUGAGACGCGGGCCAGACUCCGAAGGGAGGCAGCAGUCGGGAAUCUUCCGCAAUGGGCGGAAGCCUGACGGAGCAACGGCGCGUGAGUGAUGAAGGUCUUCGGAUCGUGAAGCUCGGUUAUUAGGGGAGAACAAAUGUGUAAGUAACUAUGCACGUCUUGACGGUACCUAAUCAGAAAGCCACGGCUAACUACGUG
rnacentral:rRNA from 1 species